rnacentral:rRNA from 1 species
CACGUGGGUAACCUACCCUCGAGUGGGGAAUAACCAGCCGAAAGGUUGGCUAAUGCCGCGUACGCUUCCACCUCUGCGGGGGUGGAAGGAAAGCCGUACCGUGGGUACGGCGCUCAAGGAUGGGCUCACGUCCUAUCAGCUUGUUGGUAGGGUAACGGCCUACCAAGGCAACGACGGGUAGCUGGUCUGAGAGGACGAUCAGCCACACUGGCACUGCGACACGGGCCAAACUCCUACGGGAGGCAGCAGUGAGGAAUAUUGCGCAAUGGGCGAAAGCCUGACGCAGCGACGCCGCGUGGGGGAUGAAGGUCUUCGGAUUGUAAACCCCUUUCGGGAGGGAAGAUGGGACGGGCAACCGUCCGGACGGUACCUCCAGAAGCAGCCACGGCUAACUUCGUGCCAGCAGCCGCGGUAAUACGAAGGUGGCAAGCGUUGUUCGGAUUUACUGGGCGUAAAGGGAGCGUAGGCGGUUUGGUAA